rnacentral:rRNA from 1 species
AACGAACGCUGGCGGCAUGCCUAACACAUGCAAGUCGAACGAAGCCUUCGGGCUUAGUGGCGCACGGGAGCGUAACGCGUGGGAACCUGCCUUCCGGUUCGGAAUAACAGUUAGAAAUGACUGCUAAUACCGGAUGAUGUCUUCGGACCAAAGAUUUAUCGCCGAAAGAUGGGCCCGCGUAGGAUUAGCUAGUUGGUGGGGUAAAGGCUCACCAAGGCGACGAUCCUUAGCUGGUCUGAGAGGAUGAUCAGCCACACUGGGACUGAGAAACGGCCCGGACUCCUACGGGAGGCAGCAGUGGGGAAUAUUGGACAAUGGGCGAAAGCCUGAUCCAGCAAUGCCGCGUGAGUGAUGAAGGCCUUAGGGUUGUAAAGCUCUUUUACCAGGGAUGAUAAUGACAGUACCUGGAGAAUAAGCUCCGGCUAACUCCGUGCCAGCAGCCGCCGUAA